rnacentral:sRNA from 1 species
AUCAUAGCCAAGCCUGCAGCGAGCCUGGGGACUGCUGAAAUGACUUCCUCUAAGUAGCCAGCUUCCCCUCACCUCUGGCGAGGGCUGCCCAAACCACAGCCUGCCCCCAGCUGAGACAGCUUUGCAAGACAUUGCUGAUAUACUCCAGCUGCUAUGUAAUGAACUUGAAAGCCUGUUCUGUAGCUGGCAUCAGGACUGGUUAAUUAGGCCCUCUGCUGCCAUUGCAGUUUGGGGAUGGAACCCCUGGCAGCAGGUCGCUUGGGAUGUAGAAGGGAAGGAGGGUGUCCUGGCACUCUGCACGCUUUGGCUCUGACCCCUCCCAUGUGAUGCAGGCCUUUCAGCGGCAGAUUCACGAGCGGCUCACUCAGCUGGAGCUCAUCAACAAGCAGUACCGGCGGCUGGCCCGGGAGAACCGCACAGACACGGCCAGCAGGCUGAAGCAGAUGGUCCACGAGGGCAACCAGCGCUGGGACAACCUUCAGAGGCGGGUCACAGCCGUCCUGCGGAGACUCAGGCAUUUCACCAACCAGAGGGAAGAAUUUGAGGGCACCAGGGAGAGCAUUCUGGUGUGGCUCACAGAGAUGGACCUGCAGCUGACCAACGUGGAGCACUUCUCAGAGAGUGACGCCGAUGACAAGAUGCGCCAACUGAAUGGCUUCCAACAGGAAAUUACAUUAAAUACCAACAAGAUUGAUCAGCUCAUUGUGUU